UACGAAGGGGGCAAGCGUUGUUCGGAAUUACUGGGCGUAAAGGGCGCGUAGGCGGCCGAUCAAGUCAGGCGUGAAAUUCCCGGGCUCAACCUGGGGGCUGCGCUUGAUACUGAUUGGCUUGAAUGCGGGAGAGGAUAGUGGAAUUCCCAGUGUAGAGGUGAAAUUCGUAGAUAUUGGGAAGAACACCGGUGGCGAAGGCGGCUAUCUGGCUUAUAACUGACGCUGAGGCGCGAAAGCGUGGGGAGCAAACAGG
rnacentral:rRNA from 1 species